rnacentral:lncRNA from 1 species
AUCCAACUGCCCAACAGGAAAACAAAAAAAAAAAAAAAUCAGCGAAGGAAACACCUACGCCGUAGGCUUGCAUUUCAGCAGCAGAAGUUGGCAGCCCGAAGAGCUCCCGCGGUGCAGGUAUGUGCGGUGCCGUGCGGUGCUCAGCACCCGCGGAGCGGCCCCGGGAGCACCUGUUGGAAACCCCCGGGGGGGUGCCGGUGCCGCAGCCCCCCGCACAGCCGGCGGGUCCCCCCGGAGCUGCUCCUUUUUUACCUGCUGCUGCUCCCGCGGCUCUCCAGCCCUCCGGCCGGGUCGCACCCCCGAGCUGGCGGCGGUCGGCUCCCCAGCUCCGUCCUGCCGCGCAUCUCUGCCGGGGGGGCAGCCCCACACAGCGCCGCUUCCAAAAGUCUCUUCAGGGAAGGGACUGAAGGGAAGGACCCCCCCCCCCCCCCCGCAAACACGGCCCCCCCCCCCCCCCCCCCAAACCCCCCCCCCCCCCCCCCGCGCCCCCUCGCCCCCCCCCCCCGGGGGCGAAAAAAAAGGAGCGGGGGGGGGGGGGCGGGGGGCCCCCCCCCCCCCCCGGGGGGGGGGGGGGGGCAGGGGGCGCACGACCCCUGGGGGCUGCGUGUCCCCACGACGAGCAUCCCCGGGGGGAGCCCCGCAACUCCGCCAAGUCCGAGAGCGGAGCUCCCGCGGGCGGUGCCGGGCGCUGCGCUCACCUGGACGCCGUGCGGGGUGGGGAAGGGGGGAAAUUGGGGGAUGAAGGGGGGGGGGCUCGGCCCCUCUCAGGACAUCACGGCGGCGGAGCGGCUCCUCCGGCAGCGGGGGCGCGGCGCUGCCUCACGCCGCGGCGCUCAGCCGCGCCUCCCUCCCGCACAUCCGCGGCCGCCGAGCCCCGGCCCCCGCUGGUGGCGGCGGCGGAGAAGGGGGGGGGGGGGGGGGGAGCCCCGGGGGGGGGGGGGGGGGGGGGGCGGGCCCCGCUCCCGUCGCCUCCCGCCUCGCCCCGCCCGCUCCGCUGCCGCCACCGGCCCCCCCCGGGAGAGCCUCAGCUCCUCUGAUGCGUCUAGGGGGUGCCUUCUCCUUCCCCCUCCAUCCCUUUUUUCCUUUUUUUUUUUUUCUCCCCUCUUCAUCCCACUUUUCUCCCUGGUAGCCGUUUUUCUUUUCCACGCGUUUCCCCAUUUCUCCCUUCCUUGUUUUCAUUCCCUCCCAUUUUCCCACCUUUUUUUUUUUUUUUUUUUUUUUUUUUUCUUUCCCCCCCUCCCCUUCUCCCCCUGUCCACUUUUCCCCAUCCCUCUCCCUACCAAAAGAUUUCAGCACAGGAUCCUGUGGCCAGGCGCCCAGCAGCCUCCCUCUCCGAGGAGCUGGCCAAGGGUUGUGGAAGCAUGUCCCCAGGGGUGGGGGCUACAGCAGCCCUGA